UGAGUAAACCAGGUGGUCGCGGGUGCAAGACGCGUAAAGUCGCACCUGAGGAAAGUCCGAGCUCCACAGGGCAGGGUGCCGGGUAAUACCCGGCGGGGGCGACCCCAGGGAAAGUGCCACAGAAAUGUAGACCGCCCCGUGAGUGCGGGGUAAGGGUGCAACGGUGCGGUAAGAGCGCACCAGCGGCCGGGCAACCGGCCGGCUAGGUAAACCCCACCCGGAGCAAGGCCGCGUAGGGGGACAAUGGAGUGGCCCGCUCCGUCCCCGGGUAGGCCGCAGGAGGCGCCAGGGCAACCGGCGUCCCAGAUAAAUGACCACCCUCGACAGAACUCGGCUUACAGGUUUACUCACCCA
rnacentral:RNase_P_RNA from 1 species